UACGUAGGGUGCAAGCGUUGUCCGGAAUUAUUGGGCGUAAAGAGCUUGUAGCGGUUGUCGCGUCUGCUGUGAAAUCUCGAGCUUACCACGUAGCUUGCAGUGGGUACGGGCAGACUAGAGUGUGGUAGGGGAGACUGGAAUUCCUGGUGUAGCGGUGAAAUGCGCAGAUAUCAGGAGGAACACCGAUGGCGAAGGCGGGUCUCUGGGCCGUAAG
rnacentral:rRNA from 1 species